UUGGACUGUCACUGAACAUCUUCUGCUUCCACCAAACCAGAAAUCAACCACGCAAGAAUAACAAAAGCUUCAACUAAUCUCGUCAUUGUGAAUAUUAUCUCCACAAAUUUGCAAAUCAAUGGUAAUAUGUUUAUUUUCUCAACCAUAUAUCACACACACACACACACACAUAUAUAUAAGCAGUGGUAAUGUAACAUUAAAUAUUGGCACCUACUUUUCUUGGUUGCAGGUUCUCGUUUGGUAACUUGAACUCCCUUUUUCGGUAUACUUAACUUUGUUCCAGAUUCUUUCCUACUUCUCUGUUCGGUUGUUCUUGUGUUUUUCUUAUUGUGGAUGGUUUUGUUUGAUUAGCAGUCUUUCUUCAUCUCUCUGAACUUUAGCCAUUUAAUCCUAUUGUGUUAGCAGUUGAGUUUUUUUUGAACAGUGAUUGCUGAAGUCAGGAAAUUAUGAUUAUUGUUUCUUUAUUCUGCUUUAAUUAGUAAGUGAUAGUUGAAAGGAGUGGGGAAGCAUGUUUUGAAGCAAGAAAAUCAGCAACUCUUGCGUGUUUUAGUUAAUAAAAUGAUAUGUUUUAUUUUAUUUUUUGCCGACAGCUUAUAUUUGCUGUAACAAAUAUCUUCCCUCAAAAGUGCUAUAUAUAUGUAAGGCUGAUGAACUACAAAAUAUAAAGUUCACUUUUCCAGAAGCUGCCUCUCACUCUGCUGUAUUCUCUUCUG
rnacentral:lncRNA from 1 species